AUUGAACGCUGGCGGCAGGCCUAACACAUGCAAGUCGAGCGGAUGAAGGGAGCUUGCUCCUGGAUUCAGCGGCGGACGGGUGAGUAAUGCCUAGGAAUCUGCCUGGUAGUGGGGGAUAACGUCCGGAAACGGGCGCUAAUACCGCAUACGUCCUGAGGGAGAAAGUGGGGGAUCUUCGGACCUCACGCUAUCAGAUGAGCCUAGGUCGGAUUAGCUAGUUGGUGGGGUAAAGGCCUACCAAGGCGACGAUCCGUAACUGGUCUGAGAGGAUGAUCAGUCACACUGGAACGGAGACACGGUCCAGACUCCUACGGGAGGCAGCAGUGGGGAAUAUGGGACAAUGGGCGAAAGCAUGAUCCAGCCAUGCCGCGUGUGAAGAAGGUCUUCGGAUUGUAAAGCACUUUAAGUUGGGAGGAAGGGCAGUAAGUUAAUACCUGGCUGUUUUGACGUUACCAACAGAAUAAGCACCGGCGAACUUCGU
rnacentral:rRNA from 1 species